GCUUUAAUAGUUUAGACAAAAUAUCAUAUUGUGGUUAUGAAGAGACAAGUGUUUAAGGCA
rnacentral:tRNA from 1 species